rnacentral:rRNA from 1 species
CUUUAAAUGAGGACUGGUAUGAAUGGCCCCACGAGGGCUCAACUGUCUCUUUUCUCCGGUCAAUUAAACUGAUCUCCCCGUGCAGAAGCGGGCAUAAAGACAUAAGACGAGAAGACCCUGUGGAGCCUUAGAGCUAAUCAACCAUG